UUGCAGGAAUGUAAGAGUAUAUGGUGGAUGCCUAGGCUUUAAGAAGCGAUGAAGGACGUGGAAUGGCUGCGAUAAGUUCCGGUAAGGUGCCAAUCAACCGUUACACCCGGAAAUGUCCGAAUGGGGAAACCUCACUGCUAUCAGCAGUGAUUGACGUAUGUCAAAGCGCACGGAGGGAAGUGAAACAUCUCAGUACCUCUAGGAAGAGAAAGCAAUAUAGGGAACUUUCUUUCUGGCUUAUACUCCCAGCACUUUCUAAGUGUCUAAGUUAUUACAGUAGUCUAGAUUAAGAAUCAUAAUCAGAUUUUUGUUGAACGUUGGAUAUUUAGAAAGUGCUGGGGCCAUUGAAGUCAGGAAGAAGGUUCUUGCGAUUCCCUGAGUAGCGGCGAGCGAAACGGGAACAGCCCAAACCAUUGUUGUUUACAAUAAUGGGGUUGUAGGGCGAAAUCUGCAUUUAGUUGCGGAGAGUUACAAAAUGUAUAUAUAGGAAAAUGAGUUGGGAAGCUCGACCCCAGAAGGUAAUAGUCCUGUAUUCGAAAUAUAUACAACUCUCUUGAUUUCGUUCCUGAGUAGUUCGAGACACGAAUAGCUCGAAUGAAUCUGCCAGCACUAACUGGUAAGGCUAAAUAUUCUUAAAGACCGAUAGUGAACUAGUACCGUGAGGGAAAGGUGAAAAGAACCCCGGAGAGGGGAGUGAAAUAGAUCUGAAACCCUGUGUUUACAAGGAGUAGAAGAGGUGCAUGCACCUCGACUGCGUGCCUAUUGAAGAAUGAGCCAAC
rnacentral:rRNA from 1 species